CAGAUUAUAUCACAAAAAUGGCCUCUUUCCUCUUCCUCUUCCUUCAUUUGUUCAUUCUUCCCUUAGUUCCUUCCUUCCUUCCACAACUAUUUGUUAAAUGCUUAUGCCAACCACCAUGAAAGGUGCUGAAGAUAAAAAAUAUAUAUGUAUAUGAGCAUGAUACUCUCAUCAUCCUUCUUAUAAUUCAAAAGGGUAAAAGAUAGAAACAAUUAGUGCAAUGACUUUCUGUCUUCUGGAAUUAAAAUACAUGCAUCCUUUAAAAGAUACAUCCUUAAAGGUAGCUAACUCAUUAAAAAGGUUUACAAAAAAUUAGAAUGCCUUUGUCAAAUUUCUUUGCUGUCUUAUAUUGUCAAUCACCCUAUAUCUAAUUUUAGACAUGGGCUAAUUUGAGAUCCUACUUCCUUCAUCAUUUGAUUUGGUCAGUUGAAAAGGAUGGGGAAGGGCAAAGACAGAAUACCAGCCUCAGGAUUUCUGUAGAGGUGGUGUGAAAUCAUCUGCUUUCUGCAGUGGAAGGUAGCACAGAAAUUGGCAGCUGGUGGUUGGUUCCCAGGUUUGUGACUGUCUCUGAGCAAAGCCCCUGGAAGAGUCUAGUGUUAAAAUGAAGGGUGAUCCGGUUAUAGAAUCAGAUAGAUUUGCCCAUCAUUUUUCAUUCAAUGAGUAUUUAUCCUUAGAAAAGGGACUCCUCGGUGUCCUAUAGUUGCUGUUAAUUAGAAAAAUACAGCUGUAGAGAUAAUCAUGGAAAUACUCCUAGGAUAACCAUCUGUCCAUAGCUCUUUCCAGUAGCUGACAUAGCUUCCCAACAGUCAAACUUGUCCCCCGCAGUCCUAAGGAAUGCCAGGAGCCUGGGGUUGAGAGGGGAAGGAGAGAGGAGCCUGGUAGGGAAGCGCCUGUCCUCCGUCUCUACUUCUGAUAGAAUGGGUUCACCUUGUGGAGAUUUCUGACACUAUCAGCAGUUUUGCCUCUGUGCUGCCUCUCUUUUGUGGUCACAGUUCCAUCAAGGAUGGUAUGAAGCACUGGUUACGUUCACUAAGAUGACAAUGUAGAAAUGAAGUCAGUAAUUGCUGGGGACAGCAUCUUUAUGCCAGCCCAGCCACAACUGAUAGGCAGUUGAAGGAGAUCAGCAGUGGCCUUGUGUGGAAGAAAACAUAUUAGAAAUGAAGAAGCUCUAAGUUCUUGCUUUUUUAUUGUGUAUAAGCCCCUCAUGAACCGCACUAUCCUGUCUGGAGAGGGAUGGUGAAAACCAGCGUUGAUCUACUUACGUAAGAUGAAGAACCUGAAAGUUCCAAUGCCAUGGUUCUCUCCCUUAAAAAAGUAGUAAAUAAAUUAAAAAAAAAAACACCUUGAUGCACUGAAAUAGAGUUUAAAAUUCUUGUAUUGAUUGCAUCUUCUAUUAACACCAAGAUUAGCUUUUGUGGCAGAGGCUGGCUAGCUAUUUAUCAAUCCCAUUUCCUUUUCUUCUGGGUGCUAAAUCGUGUUUUGCAAGUUAAUCCUGAAGCUAAAUUCAGCCACAUGGCUAUGUUUUGGCCAAUCAAAGGUGAGUGGAAGUGACAGGUGCCACUUCCAAGCCCUGCCCAUGAAAAUUUUUGGUGCAAAAUCCAUUGUGCUCUUUCUCCUUCCACUGGAGUGAUGGAGAUGUGCACCCUUCCUGUUGAAGGAGACGGGACAACUGGAAGGAAGGCUCUUGGGUCUAGGAGUAAGACCAAUGAUUGUGAACAUGUGGACUUGUGUGGCCAAGAAAUAAAUUUCUACCACAUUGGAUCCAUUGUACAUUUUGGGGUUUGUGUGCCCCAAUGAGACUUGUCAUCAUAAUUUCACCUGAAUUAGAGAAUAGGAGCUCCAAGAAGCACUUGGAAGUUCCGAGAACAAUACAAGUUCUGAACUGAAGGACUGGAAACUUUCCAUGGUGGGUGACAGGGUGUGUGUAGGAGCAUCAUGGAUCAGCUACUGAUAAGGCCACAUUAGCAAAGACCUUCCUCCUCCAACCCCUGCCUCCCAGAAGUUAGUUACUGGUAUUAAUGUGGGUGCUGCUUAAGGCUUUCCAUUAAGAGGCUAGAAGACACCCACAUGGCACAGGGAGGCAGGACAGUGAUGAUUCAGAGAAGCAGCUCUGAGUCAGACUGCAUGGGUUUGCACCCUGACUCUGCAAGUUUCUGCAUGACUUUUAACAGAUCGUUCCUCUGUACUUCUGUUUCUUCUCUUUAAAAGAUGUCCCUCAUGGUCCUGAUUUCACAGAUUGUUGUGAGGGUUAAAGGACAUACUAUGUAAGUGCUUAGAACAGUAUCUAUCAUAUAAUUUUUGAAAGAAAUAUUAACCGUUGUAAUUUGUAAUCAACCAAUUUAAAGACCCUCAUAUUCUUUUUAGUUUCCCCAGUUAGAAACCAAGGUGUGCUUCUGCCAAAUAUGCCCAGGCACAAUAGCUGGGUCCAGAUGGGAAGACAUCAUUUACACUAUAAAUAGCAGUGUUAUGCCACCUCCAUCAGAAUAUUUUAGACAAUCUAUUGACAACUUUCUGUAAUCAGACUAUAUCUCAUCAUUCAUUCCAUACAUGUUUGUUGAGCACCUAUUAUCUACUAAGAACUACACUGGCUGUGGAAGGUACCCAGGUGAAAAGUAUAGAGCUCACAGAUUAGUGGGAGAGACAAAAACCACACAAUGACUUCUUAUACAGUGUGACAGCUCUUGUACACGAAGAUCGUUAGUUCUCUGGAAAAUGAGUGGGGGAACAAGGGACUCAGGUUUUUUAGGGCUCAGGCCCUGCCCAUUUGUGGGGUGAAGGCUGGAACAGGGUGCAGCCAGCCACACUUGGACUAACCCACCUGCUACUGCCCAGUGAGAAUGCCAUGUUGUGUGGGAGUCAGGACCCUGGCAGUGGGAGACCUUGGAAAUAACAACACUCCGUUCCACAAAGAGCAAGUAACAAUCACACAGCACCGCCCCCAGUACAACAAAAAGACCCACCAAGACAUCCAUGCACACACCCAGCAUACAGAAAUUAUACCAGUCCAUGUUUUUGACAUUUGAGCCAUUAUAGUGGAGUGUUCAUCACUUUGUUCAGACUGUAACGUGGGCUCUUGUUUGGUGGACCAUGCUUUUGUGUAUAUUAUAUACCUGACUCAUCAUGAUAUCAAAAUCCAUCUCCCACAUAAACCUGUUGAAUAGAACUCCCGAUAGUGAAAGCCUGUUCUCUUUUAUUUUUUACCUCUUUGUAUUAAUUUCAGCUUAGUAAAGUCUAAUGGUCUUGUGAUUCCAGGAACAGCAGGUUUCUGGCUAAAAUCAAAACUGUAUGCUUCAGUCACCUAAGGUAAUGCGGCAAGUAUUUGCUUCUGAGGAAUCCAAGAACCAUUUAUAGCUGGGCAGUCAGAGGGCACUGGAACAGGGACGCCACCUGCAGGGCUGAAGGAGAAAAAUACACAGUGAGAAAACACAAACCUUUCUUUACUAACUGGAAAGACAGGAAAAGAAAAGAGAGAAGAAAAGCAGUCCUUACCGAGAUAGAGAGCAAAGAAUUCAGCAGAUCGCUUGUAGAUACAAAUGCAAGAAAAUGCAUUCUUGCCAUAGUUCUGACAAAUUCUCUUCAUUCCUCCCUUUUGGAGUUUCAGAGAGGUUGUAUUUUGUUUUAUUUUUUUCUUUUUCAGAGUGUGGAGAGCCUAAGAAUUUCCCCCAGAGCUCUUACUGCUUAAUGCUGGUGCUACUGCUGGCUAAUCCUUUAAUAAAGAGCAAUGCCAUGUGAAUUAUUCUUUGCUUUGAUAAGGGGAAGUGACUGUCACAGCAAACUGUUAAUACAAGGCGGAGAAGGACAUUCUGGGUUCAGCCCACAGUCUUCUUCCCAUUUUAGUGUCUUCUUCUCUCUGGCAGACCUAAACAUUGAUUCCACCUGCACUCACCCACCUGUUUCUGCAGAAACAAUAGAGCUUGUCUAGAAUUACGGGAACAUUGACAGGGAAAAUUACCAAACGUUAGCUUCCCACAUGCCAUCAGAAAUAAGUUGGUCCAGAAUAAAGCUAUAGCAGAAUUCUUCUGUUUGAAUGUAUACUUCCUAUAAAGGUAACACAUUUUUCUUUGGAUGGACCUGAUUUCAAUACUCUGUGUGCCAUGUAAUCUGAUCAUGUUUCCCACAUGCUCGGCCAUACCUGCACACAGGCUGUUCCUCUGUUAGAUUUGUUUAUUGUUGCUUUCAAGGGGCAAAGCCAGGUUUGGUUGCUAUUUUAUGCAUGUUGUCCGUACCUACCUGUUAACUACCUGCCAUUGCCAGGACCAGGGGACACAGCAGAUAUACAUGUUACUUUUAAGGCUGUCACCAAGAAGUCCGGGAGCCGGAGUUCAGCUGCGUUCUAAGGAACACACCACUCCUACACCUACACACCCGAAGCUGUCCAGAGCCGAUAGGAGCUGGUGUUUCUUGAAGCAUCACAGUGUAGCAGUCAUUGUGGCAGAUUCAGGGAUGUUAGAUGUAGGUGUUUGUUUCUAGAGUGCCUGCCGUCAGGUGGGGGACAGGGGCUGAGAAAGAGGCACACACAAAAAUAUGAUUCAGACCCAGCCUAAGAAAUGAAAUGAACAGAGGUCCAUGAGGCAAAGGAGGGGAGAGUCAGCUGCGGAAUUAUUUGACCAAGAGAACUUGAGUCUAACAUUUCCUCCCUACCCCAGUGCACGCACACACCUUCCCUGACGAGAAGGCUAGAGCAGAAAGGAGGACACAGAGCUCAUGAGCAGCAGGCACCUUGUCAACCUGACACUUUGAAGAGCUUCAAAGGCCACUCUCUGUGAAAGGAACAAAGCCUAAUCAUGUGGAAAAAUACAUUUCCCUAUGGAAAAAAUCUUUUUGAAAUUUCUGGAGGCAUUGAACCUAUUUCAGUUCUCCUUAGGGCAUCUGUUAAGUGGGCACCUUCUUUAAGACAUCCAACGGCAGGAGACUUGUGGGAGACACCACAGGUUUCUCGUGGAUCGUGUUUUGGCCUUGAGGGGUUUCCAUGAAUUGCCUUGUAUGCAGAGGUUGGUUGAAGUGUGGCAUUAGGUUAACUUUGCUCUUAAGAAUUCCACAGGUGCCCUUGCCAAUAGCUUUUCACAGUAGUGACAUUUAAGGGCCUGGUGUUCUGUAUCAGCAUAGCAGAUAUCCGUGUGCCUGGUGCUUGUUGUUUAAAGAUAACAACCAGGGAGGGAAUAUAGACUGUGAUCAACUUUUGUGGAAAUCAGAGUAGAGAGAAAGGAAGAGAGGAUAGUUGGGUGGGCCGUGCCCAUGCCUGAAAUUCAUUCAGCCGCAGAUUUCUUUCGGACUAGGGGAGACCCAGGGAAGGUCGGCACACACAUAAGCAGUCAGUCCCCAGGGAAUGGCACUGACCUGGGUGGAUGAAUGAAUGCCCCACAUUCCAGGGUCGAAACUUCAGUGAUUUCUCAAUGCAUAAGAAGUUGAUCUUUCAGUUGGAACAGAAUUCCAUGAAUCAGUGGAUGGAGAAUGCCUAUUAUAUUCAUUUCUAAUGAAAUGUGUAAUUAUCCAGUGGGCUUAUGUUUGCUAAGCAGCGUAUUCUUUUUUAGGCCACCGAUUUUCACCCGGUGUGCCACAACACACUGUUGUGCUGCAAGGAUUUUUAAGACAUGCGAUUCCUGACUAUUUAGUCAGGGGCACUGACCUCUUUUCUCUUAGACUGUCAAAUU